UACGUAGGGGGCAAGCGUUGUCCGGAAUCAUUGGGCGUAAAGAGCGUGUAGGCGGUUCAGUAAGUCUGCUGUGAAAGUCCAGGGCUCAACCCUGGGAUGCCGGUGGAUACUACUGGGCUAGAGUCCGGAAGAGGCGAGUGGAAUUCCUGGUGUAGCGGUGAAAUGCGCAGAUAUCAGGAGGAACACCGAUGGCGAAGGCAGCUCGCUGGGACGGUACUGACGCUGAGGCGCGAAAGCGUGGGGAGCAAACAGG
rnacentral:rRNA from 1 species